UGAAAUCUGGGGCCUCACAGCCUCCGAAUUGUAAUUUCGCGAUGCGUCUUUGACGGAUGGCCCUACUUUAAGUUCCUUGGAACAGGACGUCACAGAGGGUGAGAAUCCCGUGAUAGGUAGGGCCUGAAGCAUAUAAUACGUAUUCUACGAGUCGAGUUGUUUGGGAAUGCAGCUCAAAAUGGGUGGUAAAUUUCAUCUAAAGCUAAAUAUUGGCGAGAGACCGAUAGCGCACAAGUAGAGUGAUCGAAAGAUGAAAAGCACUUUGAAAAGAGAGUUAAAAAGUACGUGAAAUUGUUGAAAGGGAAGCGCUUGAGACCAGACUCCAUCUGUGGUGAUCAGCGGUGCUUUUGUGCCGUGCACUUGCCACUUAUGGGGCCAGCAUCGGUUCUGGCGGUGGGAUAAAGUCGAGAGGAAUGUAGCUGUCGUUUGGCAGUGUUAUAGCCUCUUGAGCAAUGCCACCAGCCGGGACCGAGGACCGCGCUUCGGCUAGGAUGCUGGCGUAAUGGUCUUCAGCGACCCGUCUUGAAACACGGACCAAGGAGUCUAACAUCUAUGCGAGUGUUCGGGUGAAAAACCCUUGCGCGUAAUGAAAGUGAACGGAGGUGGGAACCUUAGGGUGCACCAUCGACCGAUCCUGAUGUCUUCGGAAGGAUUUGAGUAUGAGCAUAGCUGUUGGGACCCGAAAGAUGGUGAACUAUGCCUGAAUAGGGUGAAGCCAGAGGAA
rnacentral:rRNA from 1 species